GCCGGGUGUGGUGGCGCACACCUGUAAUCCCAGCUACUUGGGAGGCUGAGACAGAAGAAUCACUUGAACCCAGGAGGUGGAGGUUACAGUGAACCGAGAUCGUGCCACUGCACUGCAGCCUGGGUGAGACAGUGAGACUCUGUCUCAC
rnacentral:SRP_RNA from 1 species